AGCAGCCGCGGUAAUUCCAGCUCCAAUAGCGUAUAUUAAAGUUGUUGCAGUUAAAAAGCUCGUAGUUGAAUUUCGGGGUUAGUAGGUUGGUCAUGCCACUGGUAUGUACUGGUCUCACUGAUUCCUCCUUCCUGAUGAACCGUAAUGCCAUUAAUUUGGUGUUGCGGGGAGACUGGACUGUUACUUUGAAAAAAUUAGAGUGUUUAAAGCAAGCUAACGCUUGAAUACAUUAGCAUGGAAUAAUGAAAUAGGACGUUCGAUCCUAUUUUGUUGGUUUCUAGGAUUGACGUAAUGAUUAAUAGGGAUAGUUGGGGGCAUUAGUAUUCAAUUGUCAGAGGUGAAAUUCUUGGAUUUAUUGAAGACUAACUACUGCGAAAGCAUUUGCCAAGGAUGUUUUCAUUAAUCAAGAACGAAAGUUAGGGGAUCGAAGACGAUCAGAUACCGUCGUAGUCUUAACCAUAAACUAUGCCGACUAGGGAUCGGAUGAUGUUAAUUUUUAAUGACUCAUUCGGCGCCUUAA
rnacentral:rRNA from 1 species